CGCUGGCGGCGUGCCUAACACAUGCAAGUCGUGCGAGAAAGUUCCUUCGGGAGCGAGUAAAGCGGCGCACGGGUGAGUAACACGUAGGUAACCUGCCCCCCAGUCUGGAACAACUAGAGGAAACUCUAGCUAAUGCCGGAUGAGACCACGAUCCCUUCGGGGGUUGCGGCCAAAGAUGGCCUCUACUUGUAAGCUAUCGCUGAGGGAUGGGCCUGCGGGCCAUUAGCUUGUUGGUGAGGUAACGGCUCACCAAGGCUGUGAUGGCUAGCUGGUCUGAGAGGAUGACCAGCCACACUGGGACUGAGACACGGCCCAGACUCCUACGGGAGGCAGCAGUGGGAAUAUUGCGCAAUGGGCGAAAGCCUGACGCAGCGACGCCGCGUGGGUGAUGAAGGCCUUCGGGUCGUAAAGCCCUGUCGCAGGGGAAGAAUAAGCAUCGGUAUAAUACGCCGGUGCCCUGACGGUACCCUGCAAGAAAGCACCGGCUAACUCCGUG
rnacentral:rRNA from 1 species